CUUGCAGUCAGUGCUGUAGGACCACCAGUGGUGGCUUGCAGUCAGUGCUGUAGGACCACCAGUGGUGGCUUGCAGUCAGUGCUGUAGGACCACCAUGGGGGCUUGCAGUCAGUGCUGUAGGACCACCAGUGUGGGGGCUCGCAGUCAGUGCUGUAGGACCACCAGUGGGGGCUCGCAGUCAGUGCUGUAGGACCACCAGUGGGGGCUCGCAGUCAGUGCUGUAGGACCACCAGUGGGGGCUCGCAAUCAGUGAUCCGUCCACCCCAAGCUGACCCUGUUGUACCCUGAGGUUGGCUCGUCCAGUGUUUUUGUUGCUUGUGUUUUUGUAGCCUCUUCUCUGCGUCUUCCAUGUAACCACACGAAGUGCCUGUGUAAUGAAGGAUUCCUCGGCGAUUCUACUUCUGCCUUACUAUGUUCAGCGCAGGACGGUUCUUACUUUACAGGUUUUUUUUACCGAUUUGUUUUUUAUAUGUUUGGUUACUGAUUGUAGAUUUGUUUUUCAUAUUUUUGGGACGUUUUAUUGCUCAAUUUGCAUUUUUUAUUUGAAGUUUUUAUUAAAACCCUUGCACCUGAGAUGAUGAUAAUAAAGGCCUUUUGAUACGA